CACGAACCGGACGAACGUUGUUCGGAAUUAUUGGGCUUAAAGGGUGCGUAGGCGGUGCGGUAAGUGCGGUGUGAAAUCCCACGGCUCAACCGUGGAAUUGCGCUGCAUACUGCCGUGCUCGAGGGAGACAGGGGUAAGCGGAACUGAUGGUGGAGCGGUGAAAUGCGUUGAUAUCAUCAGGAACACCAGUGGCGAAAGCGGCUUGCUGGGUCUCUUCUGACGCUGAGGCACGAAAGCUAGGGUAGCGAACGGG
rnacentral:rRNA from 1 species